UGUGAUUUUUCAUGUUUCUUCGUAGCAAUUGUCAACGAAUAAAUAUUUUUUGUUGCUACACGUUAUGUUCGUUUUUAAUUAUUUCAAGUAUAAUGAAUAUGCAUUACCCAAAUUCCUCUUACGAAAUCGUACAAAUAGCAAUUGUAUACUUGGUGCUACAAAAAGUGAAAGCAACGACAAUUGUUGUAAUUUAGCUCCUUGUUCUGAUGUGGUAUCGAAUACAAAUUCUAAUGAAACCUCGUCUACAGAGACAAAAGACUCAAUUCCAAAAUGUGAAAUUCUUGAUACACAGUUAAAAGAUAAUAAUGAAACUAUUUCACAAGAUCCGCCCCAAGAACACAUAGACUUUAAAGUGAUUUAUAAUAAACAACGGAUUAAUGUGAACUUUCCACUCGAUGGUACUGUUGCACAAUUAAAAGCACACCUUCAAAACAUCAUAUCUGUGCCACAAGCCAUGCAGAAAGUUAUGAUCAAAGGAUUAGCUAAAGAUGAUCAAACACUAAGAAGUCUAGGAGUGACUAAAGGUGCCAAAGUCAUGGUGGUAGGAUCAAAGUUACAUGAUGUAUUGGCUGUAUCUAUUCCAACGAAACAAGACCUUUCAGACGAAGCUGCUUCUACAGCGAGCAAAGAACCCUUGUCUCAGCAAAAAAUGCAUAGGAAAGUUUUAGAUAAAGGUAUUCCAGAAGAUGUCAUGCCUGGUAUAUUAGAUAGCAAGGAACCUUUACCAGAAUUUCCAUUGGCUGGCAUGUUAAAUAAAUCUGGUGGCAAAGUUAGACUAACAUUUAAAUUGGAGCAGGAUCAACUAUGGAUUGGAACUAAAGAAAGAACAGACAAAAUACCUAUGAAUUCUAUAAAAGGUGUACAUAGUGAACCUAUACACGAUUAUCCAGAAUAUCAUAUUAUGGCUAUUCAACUGGGCACAACAGAGGCUUCGAGAUAUUGGAUAUAUUGGGUUCCUGCGCAGUACAUAUCCGCUAUAAAAGAUGCUAUUCUUGGCAAAUGGUGCUACUUCUGAUCGAUCAUUGAUGGAAAUUUCUGUCUCUUUGAAUGCAAAGUGUAAUCAGGUGUAAGCAUUGAUACAAACACGACUGUGCUAGUCACACAUUUUUAACAGAGGAUGCGAAGAAAGAAGUUAUGAUGUUGCAUUUACAAUCUUUUGAAGUUCGUCGAGAAAUAAUACAACUUUUUACCGCAUUUAAUAAUAAUGAUAAAUAAUUUGUAAUAGUUCAUAUACUUCAACAAACGUUCCAAAUUUUAUUACGGCAAUUACAUUUGACGUUUCAUCUAACAGUAUGAAUAGUUGUCUAAAAUGCUUUCUUUUAACGAAAAUUUUAUUUUGCUUAUGCGAUGAAAAACGAAUUUACUAAUAUAAGCCGUAUUACUACCAAGAUAUAUAGUCCGCUUUUUCGUAACGUAUUAAUAACGUAUUACUAUUAUUCAGUAACGAAACAACGAACUUGUUACGAAAUUUAAUAUAUUUUACAUUAACAUUUUAUUUUUUGACAUUGGCCUACAUAAAUUGCCUGCAAAAAGUCUCAUCUCAGAAUUCCGUCGUUGAAAUUCAAGUGGACUGUAUCUCGACGAGCGUAAACAAAUCUCAUAUUGCAUAACUUAGUAUUAUAACUGCCGUAAAUUAGGUUUUAUACUAUGUAACGUGUACAUCUUAAAAGAAAAACAGAAAAGAAACGGAAUUAUAAGGAAAGAUAAAUGAAAUUUAUUUACUAAAAUAUGUCUACAUAAAAUUCGGAACUCCAGUUUGCACAUUGAAACAUCUACUUCAGUGUCCGUUUAAGUAAGACUUGUAUAUCGUGUUGGGCGAUUUGAUAAAAUAAAUAAU